CUUCGAAGCUUCCAAUAAUACUACUAAACACCUCACAUCACUCUAAAACUCUCCAUAAACACUAUCUAUCCUCAUUUGAUCAAGAAAAUCCUUGAAGAAGAAGCUCCAAAGUAGAGUGAGAAAGUGAGAAAUUUUGGUAAGAACUUGGACACGAGCAGAGCAGGGAAGUAAGUAACUCCGCUUUGACGGGAGUUUUUGAGUAAGGUCUUCAGGCUAAGCGAGGAGCGAGAUUGGUCUGGUGCUGGCGGGGAAUUGUUAAAGGAUGUAUUUACUUUAUCGUAUUUCCAUUUUGACGAUAAAGUCUUGAUAAUUAAUAUACUUUGAUUUUCUUUUGAAUUUAAGCAAUGUACUCACGGUUAUAUGUCUUCAUACAUAUAAUCGGUUCACCUUUUGCUGCGAUACUCUGCAUAUUAUGAUUCCUUACGAAAAAUGAGCGAUACCCGUUUUGUUUUUGUUCGUGAAAUUCCUGAUAAUUAAAAAGUUAUAACGACAUUGACGAUUUUACCCUUGGGUUCAUUUAUAAUGAUUUCUUUAACACCUUUUGAUGCGAGCUUCCGCUUGAUGUUCGACCUAUUCUUCUUAUCUUUUAUUCUUUUAAAAAUAGUCGUAUCGAUACUCGUACCCCACUAUCACUAGUGUCGGGA